GACGAACGCUGGCGGCAUGCUUAACACAUGCAAGUCGAGCGGAAAGGCCCUUUCGGGGGUACUCGAGCGGCGAACGGGUGAGUAACACGUGAGUAAUCUGCCCCUGGCUUUGGGAUAGCCACCGGAAACGGUGAUUAAUACCGGAUACGACCACUUCUCGCAUGGGAUGGUGGUGGAAAGUUUUUCGGCCAGGGAUGUGCUCGCGGCCUAUCAGCUUGAUGGUGAGGUAAUGGCUCACCAUGGCCUCGACGGGUAGCCGGCCUGAGAGGGUGACCGGUCACACUGGGACUGAGACACGGCCCAGACUCUUACGGGAGGCAGCAGUGGGGAAUAUUGGACAAUGGGCGGAAGCCUGAUCCAGCAACGCCGCGUGAGGGAUGACGGCCUUCGGGUUGUAAACCUCUUUCAGCAGGGACGAAGCGCAAGUGACGGUACCUGCAGAAGAAGCACCGGCCAACUACGUGCCAGCAGCCGCGGUAA
rnacentral:rRNA from 1 species